rnacentral:rRNA from 1 species
UACGUAGGGGGCAAGCGUUGUCCGGAUUUAUUGGGCGUAAAGAGCUCGUAGGCGGUUUGUCGCGUCGGCUGUGAAAACUCGGGGCUCAACCCCGAGCCUGCAGUCGAUACGGGCAAACUAGAGUGUGGUAGGGGAGACUGGAAUUCCUGGUGUAGCGGUGAAAUGCGCAGAUAUCAGGAGGAACACCGGCGGCGAAGGCGGGUCUCUGGGCCUUACCUGACGCUGAGGAGCGAAAGCGUGGGGAGCGAACAGG